GUACUUGCUUUGGCAAUACAUAUGCUGAAAUUGUAACAAUACAGAGAAGAUUAGCAUAACCCCUACACAAUGAUGAUACGCAAUUGUGAAACGUUCCACAAUUUU